rnacentral:rRNA from 1 species
UACGUAGGGUGCAAGCGUUAAUCGGAAUUACUGGGCGUAAAGCGUGCGCAGGCGGUUUUGUAAGACAGGCGUGAAAUCCCCGGGCUCAACCUGGGAAUUGCGCUUGUGACUGCAAAGCUGGAGUGCGGCAGAGGGGGAUGGAAUUCCGCGUGUAGCAGUGAAAUGCGUAGAUAUGCGGAGGAACACCGAUGGCGAAGGCAAUCCCCUGGGCCUGCACUGACGCUCAUGCAUGAAAGCGUGGGGAGCAAACAGG